rnacentral:tRNA from 1 species
UACGAGGUAUAUCAGCGGUUAGAUUGUCGGUCUCAUAAGCCGAAUGUCGCGGGUUCGAGUCCCGCUCUCGUAA